rnacentral:rRNA from 1 species
ACGUAGGUGGCAAGCGUUGUCCGGAUUUAUUGGGCGUAAAGCGCGCGCAGGCGGCUAUGUAAGUCUGGUGUUAAAGCCCAAGGCUCAACCUUGGUUCGCAUUGGAAACUGUGUAGCUUGAGUGCAGAAGAGGAAAGCGGUAUUCCACGUGUAGCGGUGAAAUGCGUAGAGAUGUGGAGGAACACCAGUGGCGAAGGCGGCUUUCUGGUCUGUAACUGACGCUGAGGCGCGAAAGCGUGGGGAGCAAACAGGA